AAUAGGAGGAUGACAAAUUAGAUUUUUUCUCUUGAUUUUCAACUUUUUCCUCUUGAAAAAAUUCAAAUCUAACUAAAAAUGCUAAAAAUUAGGAGAAAAAAUCUAAUUUGUCAUCUCUCUAUU
rfam:Gossypium hirsutum cultivar TM-1 unplaced genomic scaffold scaffold3017.1, whole genome shotgun sequence